rnacentral:rRNA from 1 species
UGAGGAACAUGACCUUCGGCGGGGGAUAGCCGGCCCAACGGCCGGGUAAUACCGCGUACGACCACAUGGGGACAUCCCUGAGUGGUGAAAGCAGCAAUGCGCCGAUGGAGUGCCUCGCGGCCUAUCAGCUAGUUGGUGAGGUAACGGCUCACCAAGGCAACGACGGGUAGCUGGUCUGAGAGGAUGGCCAGCCACAUUGGGACUGAGACACGGCCCAGACCUNUACGGGAGG